rnacentral:rRNA from 1 species
ACCAUGCAGUCGAACGGAAAGGCCCUUGCUUGCAGGGGUACUCGAGUGGCGAACGGGUGAGUAACACGUAGGUGAUCUGCCUUGUACUUCGGGAUAAGCCUGGGAAACUGGGUCUAAUACCGGAUAGGACCAUGCUUUAGUGUGUGUGGUGGAAAGUUUUUUCGGUACAAGAUGAGCCCGCGGCCUAUCAGCUUGUUGGUGGGGUAAUGGCCUACCAAGGCGACGACGGGUAGCCGGCCUGAGAGGGUGUACGGCCACAUUGGGACUGAGACACGGCCCAGACUCCUACGGGAGGCAGCAGUGGGGAAUAUUGCACAAUGGGCGCAAGCCUGAUGCAGCGACGCCGCGUGAGGGAUGACGGCCUUCGGGUUGUAAACCUCUUUCGCUAGGGAAGAAGCCACUUGUGGUGACGGUACCUGGAUAAGAAGCACCGGCUAACUACGUGCCAGCAGCCGCGGUAAU